CAAAAUAUUCAAAUACUCCGUGUUGUCCAACAAAAACAUUCCAGGUACAAAAUUCAAACAGCUGGACAUGACAUGAGACCGUAAACAAGUAGCAUACAGACAGAUAAUGGUGUUCCUGUUUAUGGCUGCCAACGCCAACCACUGGUGACUACGGCAAAGUGUACAUGCAAAAUGUCUACAAGCUUUUAUCACACAACCUAUACAAAUAAUGGUACCGGCGUUGUAGCUCCCGCUCAACCUAACCAUCAUCCUCAUCCUAUCCCAUGGUAAUAACAUAUAAUUAACUCGACCUGGCUAGAUAUUUCACUCGCCAAAAUUGUCCUGGUACCAAAAGAAUCAGUUGAAACAACCAAUAACAAAUCUACAGCUUGAAAGAUGCCUCGAGUAUCACUUCUGUGUAAAUUGAAAUGCUUAUCAUCUAAACGAACUCUCUUCACAAGUGGAUAACUCAGUAGCUUCCCAUCGGUGGCAUCCCGUAUGCUGGCAUAGGUCCAGGACCCAUCGGAGGCAUCCCCAUUCCGCCCAUCGGAGGCAUGCCCAUUCCACCCAUUGGAGGUGGAGGAACGCCCAUACCAGGUGGAGCAGGCAGGGCAAGAGGAAGCAGUUGGGCGUACAUGUUCUG
rnacentral:lncRNA from 1 species